AACGCCGUACCACGCGCCUCUGUCCUCCUCCUCGUCUCGCCCUCCUCCCUUUCCGCUUCCUGUUCCACCACCUACGGGCUCCGCUCUCCGGCGACCUCUUCGAGCCCUCAUUGCCGCAAGCGAGGUCUUAUACGCAAUCCCAUGUUCUCUCCUCCAAUCUCAGGAGGUGGUCUCGCCCUCCGCUUCCACCGCUUCUUCUGCGAGAUCCUCUCGGAAUGAGUUCGUAAAUUGGUAUCUUGACAUGAUCGAUCGAGGAACGCCCGGUUCGAUCAAUGCCGGGGCCGUAUUCACCUCCGUUGACAUCUCGUUAUUGCGCGACCUGCCCCCCAUUUAUCCAUUCCCGAGUAAGCUUGCAUUUUUUCGGUGGUUUCUUGUUAAUUUUGGUUCAGUAUCUUAAAAGUUAGGUUCUUUUUUAAGAUUUUCGAUGUCUGCAAGAAUUCUGAAUCGUGUAGCGCACUCAAUAGUUCUUGAUCUUGAGCUUUAAAGGGAGGUGCGGUUGAUAGAGUAUCUCUUUAGGAUUUCAGGGUUUAGUUUGUAAAGCUAAUAGCCAGGAAGGUGUCAGGUAUCUUAGCUGGUAAAGACUUUGACAGUUUAUUAUAAAUUCUCGACUCGAAUCUCAUCUUUACCAAUUACCUUUAGCAAAAGAACAAGACAAAAAAGAAAGAAACAGUAAGGUUUUCAAUUUCAAAAGAUACCGCCUGCCACCGGGUGAUACCAUUAAUUGGGGCUGUUUCCGCCUUAUUAUCACGUGAAAUCAAUCAGUGAUGGUCGAUUUCGAUCGUCGUCACCCGCUACAUGGCAAUAUUAGCGGUUAGCUGAAGAAGAGGGAGAAGGAAAAAGACGGAGAAGAAAAGGGAGAACCUGUAGAUCCGGCACCACUCUCCCUCGACGAUCCCGAUCCGUCACCGACCUCCCUCACCAAGCACCAUAGAUGAGAUGUCGCUUCCUUCUUGCCUGAGGCGACGAGGCCUUGGCGUCGUCGGCAACUUCUCCUCAUCCGCACGGGGAGAAGAAGCCUCGGUGACGUCGCCCUCAUAUAUAUAUAUAUAUAUAUAUAUAUAUAUAUAUAUAUAUAUAUAUAUAUAUAUAUAUACACAUACACAUACACAUACACAUAUACAUAUAUAUAUGUACGGUAUAAAAUUGUGAACCUUGAUUCAAAGCCUAAAAUUAGGAUUAUUUGAAUGGUGGACUAUGAAUAGAAUACUAGAGCCUAUGAAUAUCUGUAUGGUGGACUUGAUUUUACCUGAGAUGUUGAAAUUUUGAACUCGCAAGUCGCAACCAUCUAUGUGUGGGAGAUACCCUUUCUUAUUUUGUGCCGAAGCAUUUGUAAUGCACAAGCUGAAACAGCUGAAAUCUUGCAUGUUAAUGUCUUAUAUCAGAUAGUGAAUGUGAAAUUAUAGCAUGAAUUGUUGUGACUCAGAUACUGAUUGGUAACCACAUACUAGAAAAUAUCGGAAGAAAAUGCGACUGAUGAUCAGGCUUCAAUUUUGCUUUGCUUCUGUGACAGCAAGGCUUCAGUGAUUGUCUAGAAUCUAGAUAACAAGGCUUCUGAAGUAGAACAUUAUGCUUUCUCCUUUCUCAUAUGAUUACAGUGAGCAGCUGAAUUAUGAUUUGUAUCAAGAGAUUCAAAGCUUUGCUUCGGAAUUAUCUUUAUUUCACAUAGUUUAACUUGUCUUUUAAGCUCCAUUCUAACUAACUCAAUUCAGUAGGUUUUCUUUUUAAAUUUGGAAUGCAGGAACAUUAAAUGAUAUUCUUUCUGGUAAUUUUUUAAUUCAUAUAUCAUUUUUUUACUUCAUUCUUGUUUCUAUGGAUUACAUAUCUCAUUUACAUGGCAAGCUUGCAGAAAGUAAGCAUUCAAAAACAAUUGGCUAACUCCCUUCAGAAUUUUCUGCUGUCAGUUGUAUUCUCCAAAAUUUUGCAAGAUGCUCAGAUAGUAGACUUUAGAUAUGGUAUGUUUAGCAACAUCAGUUUCUCUAUUUGUAUUGUCAAGGAUAAUGCCUUCAGAAAAGUUGUAAAUAGGAUUAAAGAAAUAUAAUUUAGGUUUUGAUAUCAUUGUUAUUACAUGUAAACUUGAAGUUAGGAAUUACGAGUUCUUUUUUCUGUAACAGUAUGGUCCUUGAUGCUUCUUAUACUGCUGCAUCAUAAGUAUUUUGCUGGUAUAUGUGGAAUACAUUUUGAUUUAAUAUUUUCACUAUGACAGGAAAUUGAUAAUACUGUUCUUAAGGUGGGUUUUCCAUGUAAUCAGUCUGAUAUGAAUUGGCCUUUAGAUUAUGAAAACAAGGCCUUGCCUCUGAAUGAUAAAUAAGGAAAUCUGUUCAAAUUUUGUAGAAGGAUUCCUUAUCAAAGAGCAGUAGAGCACUCAGUGGGCUUAUGACUUUAUCUUAGUAAUUAGAGAGAGAGAAAGAGAGAGAGAGAGAGAGAGAGAGAGAGAGAGAGAGAGCUGUGCCUUUCUCUGGUUCUUCUUAUGGCAGUGGAGAGAAGUAGUUUCUUCUCAGAUUGCACAGGCAUGGGUGCAGUUUGAUGAUGAAAAUUUCUUGUUAUUCUUCAAUUAUUCCUCCAUUUUAGUAAAAGAAGAGCAAGAUUGGUAGAUUACUUUGCAUGUCUGGUUGGGCAAUAUAUGAUUUUUUCUCCUAAUUCAGGAUAGCACUUUGCUAAAUCAAUUAGAGAUAUGAUCUUCUGUAUGCUUGCAUGCAUUAAUAUUAUUACAAGUACCAAAUAAUGACAAUAUGUUUCACUUUCAUAGUUUGAAGCUUUUGGAUAAAUGUCACAACAAGUUUGAAAAGUAAUGCAUAUUGUAAUAUAUAACUUGCUGCUGGAUUAGAAUUUGUUGACUGCCAUAUCAAUUUUGUAUCUUGCUAGAUACCAAGACUGCAGAAAAAAAUUUCUGAAGAAACAUGUUCCUUGAUCUGUCCAUUGACUCUAAAUUGAAUCUAAAUUGAAAAUGCAAUUCUGUAUGCAAAGUAUGCUUGGACAAAUGCAUGCAUAUUUGGUAGCCCCUGCAUCCUGCUUCUUCAGAAUAGUUUGUCAUUUGAAAGUUGCUGGUGAUUGAGAGAUCGAUAGGUUUUAAAUCAUCCAAUAAACAACUUAGUACAUCAUUUAGAGAAUGUACUUCUAGCAUUGAUAAUAGUUUAAGCUGCUAAGGCCUUCUAGUUCCAAUUAUAACGUGCAUCUCUGCUCUGUUAAUUCUAGCUUAUUGUCUUUUCUGCUUAUACAGAUUCACUGCUCACCAUCUUCAACUCUACAGGGCAGUUUCCCAUCUAAAUUGGUUGUCUCUGACAACCACAAAUGAUAUCUCAUUGCUUUGCAUAAAGCAAUCAUGUCAUGUUCAUGCCCAAACAUUGAGAAAACCAAGUACGCUGUUUUACACCAUCCUGUCUCAUUUGUUCCUCAAUCUUGAAUCCACUAUGCCUAUCAUGAUUGAACCUCAUAUCAAUCUCAGGAACCUGGAACAGUCCUGAUCUGUUGCCGUUUUGUUUUGUAGUUCCAGACUGUGUUGAGGAUGAAGAAAAACUAGAUCCACAAUCUGAAGCAGUUGAUGUUUCUUUUCGUCGGGUGCUGCUUCCGGUUGCAAGCGUCAGCUCUAAGUCGCUUUCCUGGUAAGUCUCCAACACCACAUUUCUAUGUUGCUUUCCACUGAAUUGUUCUGCUGGCAGCUCCAGAUCAAGUGCCCUGCAAUGUUCGUCUAGUUGGAUCGGCUUGUUGGUGUUCUUCAUUUCUCUCAUCAGCAGGUGCUGAACUUGGUAUAGACGGUGGAGUUCAUGCACCUGGAUCAGGCAGCCGAUAGAAUGGGGUCAGCAGUAGUUUCCUCAUGGC
rnacentral:lncRNA from 1 species